rnacentral:rRNA from 1 species
UGGAUCCAGACUUUGAUUAUGGCUCAGGACGAACCCUGGCGGCGCGCCUAACACAUGCAAGUCGAACGAGAGAGAGGAAGCUUGCUUCCUCGAUCGAGUGGCGAACGGGUGAGUAACGCGUGAGGAACCUGCCUCAAAGAGGGGGACAACAGUUGGAAACGACUGCUAAUACCGCAUAAGCCCACGGCUCGGCAUCGAGCAGAGGGAAAAGGAGCAAUCCGCUUUGAGAUGGCCUCGCGUCCGAUUAGCUAGUUGGUGAGGUAAUGGCCCACCAAGGCAACGAUCGGUAGCCGGACUGAGAGGUUGAACGGCCACAUUGGGACUGAGACACGGCCCAGACUCCUACGGGAGGCAGCAGUGGGGAAUAUUGCACAAUGGGGGAAACCCUGAUGCAGCGACGCCGCGUGGAGGAAGAAGGUCUUCGGAUUGUAAACUCCUGUUGUUGAGGAAGAUAAUGACGGUACUCAACAAGGAAGUGACGGCUAACUACGUGCCAGCAGCCGCGGUAAAACGUANGUCACAAGCGUUGUCCGGAAUUACUGGGUGUAAAGGGAGCGC